rnacentral:rRNA from 1 species
GACGAACGCUGGCGGCGUGCCUAAUACAUGCAAGUAGAACGCUGAAGCUUGGUGCUUGCCCCGAGCGGAUGAGUUGCGAACGGGUGAGUAACGCGUAGGUAACCUGCCUGGUAGCGGGGGAUAACUAUUGGAAACGAUAGCUAAUACCGCAUAAGAGUAGAUGUUGCAUGACAUUUGCUUAAAAGGUGCAAUUGCAUCACUACCAGAUGGACCCGCGUUGUAUUAGCUAGUUGGUGAGGUAACGGCUCACCAAGGCAACGAUACAUAGCCGACCUGAGAGGGUGAUCGGCCACACUGGGACUGAGACACGGCCCAGACUCCUACGGGAGGCAGCAGUAGGGAAUCUUCGGCAAUGGACGGAAGUCUGACCGAGCAACGCCGCGUGAGUGAAGAAGGUUUUCGGAUCGUAAAGCUCUGUUGUAAGAGAAGAACGAGUGUGAGAGUGGAAAGUUCACACUGUGACGGUACCUUACCAGAAAGGGACGGCUAACUACGUG